UGCCACUCGCCGUCGUUGCACC
rnacentral:siRNA from 1 species